rnacentral:rRNA from 1 species
UUCCGGUUGAUCCCGCCGGACCCCACUGCUAUCGAGAUGGGACUAAGGUAUGCUAGUCGAACGACCAGAACUAUGUCUGGGAGUGGCACACUGCUCAGUAACACGUAGCUAACCUACCCUUAGGACGUGGAUACCCCCGAGAAAUUGGGGUUAAUCCGCGAUAGAUGUAAUGUCCUGGAAUGGUAUUACGUCUAAAGGUAUUUCAUACAUGUUUGAAAUAUGCCUAAGGAUGGGGCUGCGGCCGAUCAGGCUGUUGGUGAGGUAAUGGCUCACCAAACCUUUGACCGGUACGGGCCAUGAGAGUGGUAGCCCGGAGAUGGACACUGAGACAAGGGUCCAGGCCCUAAGGGGCGCAGCAACCGCGAAACCUCCACAAUGCACUCACGUGCGAUGGGGCUAUCUCGAGUGCCACCUGAUGAAGGUGGCUUUUCCUAGGUCUUCAAAGCCUUGGGAAUAAGAGGGGGGCAAGACUGGUGUCAGCCGCCGCGGUAACACCAGCCCCUCGAGUGGUGGGGAUGAUUAUUUGGCCUAAAGCGUCCGUAGCCGGCCGAGCAAGUCUUCCGUUAAAUCCAGCGUCUCAAGCGUUGGACUGCGGGAGAUACUGCAGGGCUAGAGAGUGGGAGAGGUCAGCGGUAUUCUGGGGGUAGGGGCGAAAUCCUUUGAUCCCCGGAGGACCACCAGUGGCGAAGGCUGCUGACUAGAACACGUCUGACGGUCAGGGACGAAAGCUGGGGUAGCGAACCGGAUUAGAUACCCGGGUAGUCCCAGCCGUAAACGAUGCAUGCUAGGUGUU